CUACGCACUCCUACGGGAGGCAGCAGUGGGGAAUAUUGCACAAUGGGCGCAAGCCUGAUGCAGCCAUGCCGCGUGUAUGAAGAAGGCCUUCGGGUUGUAAAGUACUUUCAGCAGUGAGGAAGGUGGAUAUGUUAAUAGCAUAUUCAUUUGACGUUAGCUGCAGAAGAAGCACCGGCUAACUCCGUGCCAGCAGCCGCGGUAAUACGGAGGGUGCGAGCGUUAAUCGGAAUUACUGGGCGUAAAGCGCAUGCAGGUGGUUUGUUAAGUCAGAUGUGAAAGCCCGGGGCUCAACCUCGGAAUUGCAUUUGAAACUGGCAAACUAGAGUACUGUAGAGGGGGUAGAAUUUCAGGUGUAGCGGUGAAAUGCGUAGAGAUCUGAAGGAAUACCGGUGGCGAAGGCGGCCCCCCUGGACAGAUACUGACACUCAGAUGCGAAAGCGUGGGGAGCAAACAGGAUUAGAUACCCUGGUAG
rnacentral:rRNA from 1 species